GGGAAAUCUUACCGGGUCCGGACACACUGAGGAUUGACAGGCAAUAUCUCAUGUUAACGGUAAGUUUACUUACCGCUUANCAUCGAGUGUUAAAUAUGCUAGUCCUUUCAUGAUUAUGUGAUAGGUGGUGCAUGGCCGUUCUUAGUUCGUGGAGUGAUCUGUCUGCUUAAUUGCGUUUCACUAAGGGCCCAUAAAUUCAAGGUAUGUUAGCUCUCGUCGCUCUAUGGACCCCUUAACUCCAAUAUUCUUAUUGUGUUAAGCGCGUGUCUUUAUUUUAAGAGUUUUAAGACACUGCGCAUGCUGUUGGGCUCUGAAAGCAACGAACGUGACCGCAACGUCUUGUUGCCUUAAACUAGCGUAUAUUGCAAUUUAUUGUAAUAUCGCUUACAGAGGCUAUUUAAAACUAGACGGACCGCUGUUUCUUUCUUAAACCAGAGGAA
rnacentral:rRNA from 1 species